rnacentral:tRNA from 1 species
AGCUGUCAUGGCGAAAAAGGUAGACGCGGAAGAUUUAAAAUCUUUUCGAAAAUCGGUGAAAGUUCAAGUCUUUCUGACAGC